rnacentral:rRNA from 1 species
GGUCAAGUUAUUAAGGGUGCAGGGCGGAUGCCUUGGCACUAGGAGCCGAUGAAGGACGUGAUAAGCUGCGAUAAGCUUCGGGGAGUUGCACGUAAACUUUGAUCCGAAGAUUUCCGAAUGAGGAAACUCACUUAGAGUAAUGUCUAAGUAUCAUUAAGUGAAUACAUAGCUUAAUGAGGGGAACUCAGGGAACUGAAACAUCUAAGUACCUGAAGGAAGAGAAAGAAAUUCGAUUCCGUAAGUAGCGGCGAGCGAACGCGGAUUAGCCCAAACCAAUAAAGUUUUCUUUAUUGGGGUUGCGGACAUAUCAUAACGAAGAGGUAUCGUAAUUGAAGAGGUUUGGAAAGACCCACCACAGAAGGUAAUAGUCCUGUAUGUUAAACGAGAAGACUUCAGAUAUGAUCCAGAGUACCACGGGACACGUGAAACCCUGUGGGAAGCAGGAGGGACCACCCUCCAAGGCUAAAUACUACCUAGUGACCGAUAGCGUAUAGUACCGUGAGGGAAAGGUGAAAAGAACCCCGGGAGGGGAGUGAAAUAGAACCUGAAACCCUGCACUUACAAGCUGUGGAAGCACAUUUCUUGUGUGACCGCGUACUUUUUGUAGAACGGGCCAACGAGUUACGUUAAGUAGCAAGGUUAAGCACUUAAGGUGCGGAGCCGUAGCGAAAGCGAGUUUUAACUGAGCGUUCAGUUACUUGACGUAGACCCGAAACCGGGCGACCUACCCAUGAGCAGGAUGAAGCGAAAGUAAAAUUUCGUGGAGGUCCGAACCCACGAGCGUUGAAAAGCUCGGGGAUGACUUGUGGGUAGCGGUGAAAUUCCAAUCGAGCCCGGAGAUAGCUGGUUCUCCCCGAAAUAGCUUUAGGGCUAGCCUCAAGGUGAGAGAUACGGAGGUAGAGCACUGAAUGUCCUAGGGGGUAUUGCACCUACCGAAGACUAUCAAACUCCGAAUGCCGUCAUCUUAUACUUGGGAGUCAGACUGUGGGUGAUAAGAUUCAUAGUCGAAAGGGCAACAGCCCAGAUCGUCAGCUAAGGUCCCUAAAUGUAAGUUAAGUGGUAAAGGAUGUGGGAUUGCACAGACAACCAGGAUGUUGGCUUAGAAGCAGCCACUCAUUCAAAGAGUGCGUAAUAGCUCACUGGUCGAGUGAUCCUGCGCCGAAGAUUUCCGGGGCUAAAACUUACUACCGAAGCUACGGCAUCAGUAAUGAUGGGUAGGGGAGCUUCCCAUACGGGUUGAAGCAUGACCGUAAGGACAUGUGGACAGUAUGGGAGUGAGAAUGUUGGCAUGAGUAGCGAGAUGUGGGUGAGAAUCCCACAGGCCGUAAACCCAAGGUUUCCAGGGGAAGGUUCGUCCGCCCUGGGUUAGUCGGGACCUAAGCUGAGGCCGAAAGGCGUAGGUGAUGGACAACAGGUUGAUAUUCCUGUACUACCGAUAACCGUUUGAGAGAAGGGAUGACACAGUAGGAUAAGCUAAGCACACUGUUGGUUAUGUGUGCCCAAGCAUUGAGGCAGUCAAAGUAGGCAAAUCCGCUUUGAUAAUGCUGGGAUGUGAUGGGGAGCGAAAUUUAGUAGCGAAGUAGCUGAUUUCACACUGUCAAGAAAAGUCUCUAUCGAGGUUAAAGGUACCCGUACCGCAAACCGACACAGGUGGGUGAGGAGAGUAUCCUAAGGCCAGCGAGAGAACUGUUGUUAAGGAACUCGGCAAAAUGACCCCGUAACUUAGGGAUAAGGGGUGCCACCAUCAGGUGGCCGCAGAGAAUAGGCCCAAGCGACUGUUUACCAAAAACAUAGGUUUCUGCUAAGUCGCAAGACGAUGUAUAGGAGCUGACGCCUGCCCGGUGCUGGAAGGUUAAGGGGAUCUGUUAGAGCAAUCGAAGCAGUGAACUUAAGCCCCAGUAAACGGCGGCCGUAACUAUAACGGUCCUAAGGUAGCGAAAUUCCUUGUCGGGUAAGUUCCGACCCGCACGAAAGGCGUAACGAUUUGGGCACUGUCUCAACAACAGACUCGGUGAAAUUGUAAUUCCGGUGAAGAUGCCGGAUACCUGCGACAGGACGGAAAGACCCCAUGGAGCUUUACUGUAGCUUGACAUUGGGUCUUGGUACUACAUGUACAGGAUAGGUGGGAGGCUUUGAAACCAGGACGCCAGUUUUGGCGGAGCCAUCCUUGGGAUACCACCCUUGUAGUACUGGGACUCUAACCAUAGGCCAUGAAUCUGGUCUUGGGACACUGUCAGGUGGGCAGUUUGACUGGGGCGGUCGCCUCCCAAAAGGUAACGGAGGCGCUCAAAGGUUCUCUCAGUACGGUCGGAAAUCGUACGUAGAGUGUAAAGGCAAAAGAGAGCUUGAUUGCAAGACAUACAGGUCGAGCAAGGAUGAAAAUCGGACUUAGUGAUCCGGUGGUUCUGCGUGGAAGGGCCAUCGCUCAACGGAUAAAAGCUACCCUGGGGAUAACAGGCUUAUCUCCCCCAAGAGUCCACAUCGACGGGGAGGUUUGGCACCUCGAUGUCGGCUCAUCACAUCCUGGGGCUGUAGUAGGUCCCAAGGGUUGGGCUGUUCGCCCAUUAAAGUGGUACGCGAGCUGGGUUCAGAACGUCGUGAGACAGUUCGGUCCCUAUCCGUCGCAGGCGUAGGAAAUUUGAGAAG